rnacentral:rRNA from 1 species
UGGGGAAUAUUGCGCAAUGGGGGAAACCCUGACGCAGCAACGCCGCGUGAAGGAUGAAGUAUUUCGGUAUGUAAACUUCGAAAGAAUAGGAAGAAUAAAUGACGGUACUAUUUAUAAGGUCCGGCUAACUACGUGCCAGCAGCCGCGGUAAUACGUAGGGACCAAGCGUUGUUCGGAUUUACUGGGCGUAAAGGGCGCGUAGGCGGCAUGACAAGUCACUUGUGAAAUCUCUGGGCUUAACCCAGAGUGGCCAAGUGAUACUGUCGCGCUAGAGUGCAGAAGGGGCAAUCGGAAUUCUUGGUGUAGCGGUGAAAUGCGUAGAUAUCAAGAGGAACACCUGAGGUGAAGACGGGUUGCUGGGCUGACACUGACGCUGAGGCGCGAAAGCCAGGGGAGCAAACGGGAUUAGAUACC